UAGGGAAUAUUGGGCAAUGGGUGAGAGCCUGACCCAGCCAUGCCGCGUGCCGGAAGACGGCCCUCUGGGUUGUAAACGGCUUUUAUAUAGGAACAAAAAGGGUUGUGCGCAACCUGUUGAGGGUACUAUAUGAAUAAGGACCGGCUAACUCCGUGCCAGCAGCCGCGGUAAUACGGAGGGUCCAAGCGUUGUCCGAAAUUACUGGGUGUAAAGGGUGUGCAGGCGGAGCGGAAAGUCAGAGGUGAAAGCCCGCAGCUUAACUGCGGAAUUGCCUUUGAUACUACCGUUCUUGAGUCCCGGAGAAGCUGUCGGAAUUCGUGGUGUAGCGGUGAAAUGCGUAGAUAUCACGAGGAACACCAGAAGCGUAAGCGGACAGCUGGACGGUGACUGACGCUCAGGCACGAAAGCGUGGGGAGCAAACAGGAUUAGAUACCCCUGUAGUCC
rnacentral:rRNA from 1 species